AUUAGCUAGGUGGAGAGGUAACGGCUCACUAAAGCGAUGAUGGGUAGCCGGCCUGAGAGGGUGAUCGGCCACAAGGGGGAUUAGACCCGGCCCUAUUCUUCGGGAGGCAGCAGUGAGGAAUAUUGGACAAUGGACCAAGAGUCUGAUCCAGCAAUUCUGGGUGCACGAUGAAGUUUUCGAAAUGUAAAGUGCUUUCAGUUGGGAAGAAAAAAAUGACGGUUCCAACAGAAGAAGUGACGGCUAAAUACGUGCCAGCAGCCGCGGUAAUACGUAUGUCACAAGCGUUAUCCGGAUUUAUUGGGCGUAAAGCGCGUCUAGGUGGUUAUAUAAGUCUGAUGUGAAAAUGCAGGGCUCAACUCUGUAUUGCGUUGGAAACUGUGUAACUAGAGUACUGGAGAGGUAAGCGGAACUACAAGUGUAGAGGUGAAAUUCGUAGAUAUUUGUAGGAAUGCCGAUGGGGAAGCCAGCUUACUGGACAGAUACUGACGCUGAAGCGCGAAAGCGUGGGUAGCAAACAGG
rnacentral:rRNA from 1 species